rnacentral:rRNA from 1 species
GUCGAGCGGACAGAUGGGAGCUUGCUCCCUGAUGUUAGCGGCGGACGGGUGAGUAACACGUGGGUAACCUGCCUGUAAGACUGGGAUAACUCCGGGAAACCGGGGCUAAUACCGGAUGGUUGUUUGAACCGCAUGGUUCAGACAUAAAAGGUGGCUUCGGCUACCACUUACAGAUGGACCCGCGGCGCAUUAGCUAGUUGGUGAGGUAACGGCUCACCAAGGCGACGAUGCGUAGCCGACCUGAGAGGGUGAUCGGCCACACUGGGACUGAGACACGGCCCAGACUCCUACGGGAGGCAGCAGUAGGGAAUCUUCCGCAAUGGACGAAAGUCUGACGGAGCAACGCCGCGUGAGUGAUGAAGGUUUUCGGAUCGUAAAGCUCUGUUGUUAGGGAAGAACAAGUGCCGUUCAAAUAGGGCGGCACCUUGACGGUACCUAACCAGAAAGCCACGGCUAACUACGUGCCAGCAGCCGCGGUAAUACGUAGGUGGCAAGCGUUGUCCGGAAUUAUUGGGCGUAAAGGGCUCGCAGGCGGUUUCUUAAGUCUGAUGUGAAAGCCCCCGGCUCAACCGGGGAGGGUCAUUGGAAACUGGGGAACUUGAGUGCAGAAGAGGAGAGUGGAAUUCCACGUGUAGCGGUGAAAUGCGUAGAGAUGUGGAGGAACACCAGUGGCGAAGGCGACUCUCUGGUCUGUAACUGACGCUGAGGAGCGAAAGCGUGGGGAGCGAACAGGAUUAGAUACCCUGGUAGUCCACGCCGUAAACGAUGAGUGCUAAG